GGGGGUGGGUGAAAGCGGGUGAAAACUGACUAUUUUUGAAUGGGGUUCAAGGGGUCGGAGGUUCAAAUCCUCUCGCCCCGACCA
rnacentral:tRNA from 1 species